UACGUAGGGGGCAAGCGUUGUCCGGAUUUACUGGGCGUAAAGCGCGCGUAGGCGGAACUUCAAGUCCGGUCUGAAAGCCCCCGGCUCAACCGGGGAGGGUGGCUGGAAACUGGGGUUCUUGAGGGCGAGAGAGGAGGGUGGAAUUCCUGGUGUAGCGGUGAAAUGCGCAGAUAUCAGGAGGAACACCGGUGGCGAAGGCGGGUCUCUGGGCAGUGAACUGACGCUGGAGGAGCGAAAGCGUGGGGAGCGAACAGGA
rnacentral:rRNA from 1 species